UUUGGGAGGCCAAGGCGGGAGGAUCGCUUGAGCCCAGGAGUUGGAGACCAGCUGUGGCAACAAAGUGAGACCUCCAUCUCUACAAAAA
ensembl:miRNA